UACGGAGGAUCCAAGCGUUGUCCGGAUUUAUUGGUUUAAAGGGUGCGUAGGCGGCCCUGUAAGUCAGUGGUGAAAUACUGCAGCUUAACUGUAGCAUUGCCAUUGAUACUGUAGGGCUUGAGUACAGAUGAGGUAGGCGGAAUUGAUGGUGUAGCGGUGAAAUGCAUAGAUACCAAUCAAGAACACCGAUUGCGAAGGCAGCUUACUAAGCUGACUAACUGACGCUGAGGCACGAAAGCGUGGGGAUCGAACAGG
rnacentral:rRNA from 1 species